rnacentral:rRNA from 9 species
GACCGCGACCCCAGGUCAGGCGGGAUUACCCGCUGAGUUUAA